UACGUAGGUGGCAAGCGUUGUCCGGAUUUACUGGGCGUAAAGAGCGUGUAGGCGGCCAGGUAGGUCUGCUGUGAAAACUCGAGGCUUAACCUCGAGAUGUCGGCGGAAACCAUCUGGCUAGAGUCCGGAAGAGGAGAGUGGAAUUCCUGGUGUAGCGGUGAAAUGCGCAGAUAUCAGGAAGAACACCCGUGGCGAAGGCGGCUCUCUGGGACGGUACUGACGCUGAGACGCGAAAGCGUGGGGAGCGAACAGG
rnacentral:rRNA from 1 species